rnacentral:rRNA from 1 species
UACGUAGGGUGCGAGCGUUGUCCGGAAUUAUUGGGCGUAAAGAGCUCGUAGGCGGUUUGUCACGUCUGCUGUGAAAUCCCGAGGCUCAACCUCGGGCCUGCAGUGGGUACGGGCAGACUGGAGUGCGGUAGGGGAGAAUGGAAUUCCUGGUGUAGCGGUGGAAUGCGCAGAUAUCAGGAGGAACACCGAUGGCGAAGGCAGUUCUCUGGGCCGUAACUGACGCUGAGGAGCGAAAGCGUGGGGAGCGAACAGGAUUAGAUACCCUGGUAGUCCACGCCGUAAACGUUGGGCGCUAGAUGUGGGGACCUUUCCACGGUUUCCGUGUCGUAGCUAACGCAUUAAGCGCCCCGCCUGGGGAGUACGGCCGCAAGGCUAAA